ACGAACGCUGGCGGCAGGCUUAACACAUGCAAGUCGAACGCAUGCCUUCGGGCAUGAGUGGCAGACGGGUGAGUAACGCGUGGGAACCUACCCCUUGGUACGGGAUAGCUCCGGGAAACUGGAGAUAAUACCGUAUGUGUCCUGAGGGACAAAGAUUCAUCGCCAAGGGAUGGGCCCGCGUCGGAUUAGCUAGUUGGUGGGGUAACGGCCUACCAAGGCGACGAUCCGUAGCUGGUCUAAGAGGAUGAUCAGCCACAUUGGGACUGAGACACGGCCCAAACUCCUACGGGAGGCAGCAGUGGGGAAUAUUGGACAAUGGGCGCAAGCCUGAUCCAGCCAUGCCGCGUGAGUGAUGAAGGCCCUAGGGUUGUAAAGCUCUUUCACCGGUGACGAUAAUGACGGUAACCGGAGAAGAAGCCCCGGCUAACUUCGUG
rnacentral:rRNA from 1 species